rnacentral:rRNA from 1 species
GACGUAGGGCGCGAGCGUUGUCCGGAUUUAUUGGGCGUAAAGGGCUCGUAGGCGGUUUGUCGCGUCGGGAGUGAAAACACUGGGCUUAACUCAGUGCUUGCUUCCGAUACGGGCAGACUAGAGGUAUUCAGGGGAGAACGGAAUUCCUGGUGUAGCGGUGAAAUGCGCAGAUAUCAGGAGGAACACCGGUGGCGAAGGCGGUUCUCUGGGAAUGUCCUGACGCUGAGGAGCGAAAGUGUGGGGAGCGAACAGG